CUCAAACGCUGUCCUCAUUUUGGCCAGGACUGAUGGAAGGCCAGAUCCCAAAGAUCCCUGAAGACAGGAACAGUCUUUCAUCUUCAGCAUCGAGCCUGAUGCCUGGCACACGCUUCUACUUAUGGUCCAGUGGAAUGACAGAUGAAGGAAAAGUUUGGAAUUUCAGAACCAUCUGGAAAUGUUCUGCUCUAGGCAGAAGAGCUGGACUGCAGCAAAGGCUCUGAAUGUGGAAUCAA